GAUGAACGCUGGCGGCGUGCUUAACACAUGCAAGUCGAACGGGAAACCUUUUAUUGAAGCUUCGGCAGAUUUAGCUGGUUUCUAGUGGCGGACGGGUGAGUAACGCGUGGGUAACCUGCCUUAUACAGGGGGAUAACAACCAGAAAUGGUUGCUAAUACCGCAUAAGCGCACAGGACCGCAUGGUCCGGUGUGAAAAACUCCGGUGGUAUAAGAUGGACCCGCGUUGGAUUAGCUAGUUGGCAGGGUAACGGCCUACCAAGGCGACGAUCCAUAGCCGGCCUGGGAGGGGGAACGGCAACAUUGGGACUGAGACACGGCCCAGACUCCUACGGGAGGGAGGAGUGGGGAAUAUUGCACAAUGGGGGAAACCCUGAUGCAGCGACGCCGCGUGAAGGAAGAAGUAUCUCGGUAUGUAAACUUCUAUGAGCAGGGAAGAGAGUGACGGUACCUGACUAAGAAGCCCCGGCUAACUACGUG
rnacentral:rRNA from 1 species